rnacentral:sRNA from 2 species
GUCCGUACGGGGAUACCGGCGCCCCCGGGACGGGGCCCCCAACACCAUGAGGCCAGGUAUGAAUAUGACACUGAUAAGCCUUCUUUUGCAUCUGAUGGGAGGAUAGGAGAGGCGGAGGUUAGCUGUGGGCAUCGGCUGCUCGAUAACCACAAGUAUAUAUCGGGAUACCUGGCGGGUUGCUCAAACCAGCCGAUUUUGAGAGGUUUGCUGCAUCCAUCGCCCAUAGUAACUCCCCUUUUAGUGAGAUGGUGUUAGGUGAUAUUCAAUGUCACAAAAAAAGGCCACGGCGAUGAACUAGACUCGUUGGUCAGAGCACAUGAAUGGUUAGAUGGUUGAAAUGCUCGCUAGCACAGUGGCCAAUUAUUUGAGUGACAGGAAACCGCCUUUUUUGUUCGAGU